rnacentral:rRNA from 3 species
GUUAUAUGGUCAAGUGAAGAAGCGCAUACGGUGGAUGCCUUGGCAGUCAGAGGCGAUGAAAGACGUGGUAGCCUGCGAAAAGCUUCGGGGAGUCGGCAAACAGACUUUGAUCCGGAGAUGUCUGAAUGGGGGAACCCAGCCAUCAUAAGAUGGUUAUCUUACGCUGAAUACAUAGGCGUAAGAGGCGAACCAGGGGAACUGAAACAUCUAAGUACCCUGAGGAAAAGAAAUCAACCGAGAUUCCCUUAGUAGUGGCGAGCGAACGGGGACUAGCCCUUAAGUGGCUUUGAGAUUAGCGGAACGCUCUGGAAAGUGCGGCCAUAGUGGGUGAUAGCCCUGUACGCGAAAAUCUCUUAGUCAUGAAAUCGAGUAGGACGGAGCACGAGAAACUUUGUCUGAAUAUGGGGGGACCAUCCUCCAAGGCUAAAUACUACUGACUGACCGAUAGUGAACUAGUACCGUGAGGGAAAGGCGAAAAGAACCCCGGAGAGGGGAGUGAAAUAGAUCCUGAAACCGUAUGCGUACAAGCAGUGGGAGCCCACUUUGUUGGGUGACUGCGUACCUUUUGUAUAAUGGGUCAGCGACUUAUUUUCAGUGGCGAGCUUAACCGAAUAGGGGAGGCGUAGCGAAAGCGAGUCUUAAUAGGGCGUCUAGUCGCUGGGAAUAGACCCGAAACCGGGCGAUCUAUCCAUGGGCAGGUUGAAGGUUGGGUAACACUAACUGGAGGACCGAACCGACUACCGUUGAAAAGUUAGCGGAUGACCUGUGGAUCGGAGUGAAAGGCUAAUCAAGCUCGGAGAUAGCUGGUUCUCCUCGAAAGCUAUUUAGGUAGCGCCUCAUGUAUCACUGUAGGGGGUAGAGCACUGUUUCGGCUAGGGGGUCAUCCCGACUUACCAAACCGAUGCAAACUCCGAAUACCUACAAGUGCCGAGCAUGGGAGACACACGGCGGGUGCUAACGUCCGUCGUGAAAAGGGAAACAACCCAGACCGUCAGCUAAGGUCCCAAAGUUAUGGUUAAGUGGGAAACGAUGUGGGAAGGCUUAGACAGCUAGGAGGUUGGCUUAGAAGCAGCCACCCUUUAAAGAAAGCGUAAUAGCUCACUAGUCGAGUCGGCCUGCGCGGAAGAUGUAACGGGGCUCAAACCAUACACCGAAGCUACGGGUAUCACGUAAGUGAUGCGGUAGAGGAGCGUUCUGUAAGCCUGUGAAGGUGAGUUGAGAAGCUUGCUGGAGGUAUCAGAAGUGCGAAUGCUGACAUGAGUAACGACAAUGGGUGUGAAAAACACCCACGCCGAAAGACCAAGGUUUCCUGCGCAACGUUAAUCGACGCAGGGUUAGUCGGUCCCUAAGGCGAGGCUGAAAAGCGUAGUCGAUGGAAAACAGGUUAAUAUUCCUGUACUUCUGGUUAUUGCGAUGGAGGGACGGAGAAGGCUAGGCCAGCUUGGCGUUGGUUGUCCAAGUUUAAGGUGGUAGGCUGAGAUCUUAGGUAAAUCCGGGAUCUUAAGGCCGAGAGCUGAUGACGAGCUAACUUUUAGUUAGCGAAGUGGUUGAUGCCAUGCUUCCAAGAAAAGCUUCUAAGCUUCAGGUAACCAGGAACCGUACCCCAAACCGACACAGGUGGUUGGGUAGAGAAUACCAAGGCGCUUGAGAGAACUCGGGUGAAGGAACUAGGCAAAAUGGCACCGUAACUUCGGGAGAAGGUGCGCCGGUGAGGGUGAAGGACUUGCUCCGUAAGCUCAUGCCGGUCGAAGAUACCAGGCCGCUGCGACUGUUUAUUAAAAACACAGCACUCUGCAAACACGAAAGUGGACGUAUAGGGUGUGACGCCUGCCCGGUGCCGGAAGGUUAAUUGAUGGGGUUAGCUAACGCGAAGCUCUUGAUCGAAGCCCCGGUAAACGGCGGCCGUAACUAUAACGGUCCUAAGGUAGCGAAAUUCCUUGUCGGGUAAGUUCCGACCUGCACGAAUGGCGUAACGAUGGCGGCGCUGUCUCCACCCGAGACUCAGUGAAAUUGAAAUCGCUGUGAAGAUGCAGUGUAUCCGCGGCUAGACGGAAAGACCCCGUGAACCUUUACUAUAGCUUUGCACUGGACUUUGAAUUUGCUUGUGUAGGAUAGGUGGGAGGCUUUGAAGCGUGGACGCCAGUCUGCGUGGAGCCAACCUUGAAAUACCACCCUGGCAACUUUGAGGUUCUAACUCAGGUCCGUUAUCCGGAUCGAGGACAGUGUAUGGUGGGUAGUUUGACUGGGGCGGUCUCCUCCUAAAGAGUAACGGAGGAGUACGAAGGUGCGCUCAGACCGGUCGGAAAUCGGUCGUAGAGUAUAAAGGCAAAAGCGCGCUUGACUGCGAGACAGACACGUCGAGCAGGUACGAAAGUAGGUCUUAGUGAUCCGGUGGUUCUGUAUGGAAGGGCCAUCGCUCAACGGAUAAAAGGUACUCCGGGGAUAACAGGCUGAUACCGCCCAAGAGUUCAUAUCGACGGCGGUGUUUGGCACCUCGAUGUCGGCUCAUCACAUCCUGGGGCUGAAGCCGGUCCCAAGGGUAUGGCUGUUCGCCAUUUAAAGUGGUACGCGAGCUGGGUUUAGAACGUCGUGAGACAGUUCGGUCCCUAUCUGCCGUGGACGUUUGAGAUUUGAGAGGGGCUGCUCCUAGUACGAGAGGACCGGAGUGGACGAACCUCUGGUGUUCCGGUUGUCACGCCAGUGGCAUUGCCGGGUAGCUAUGUUCGGAAUAGAUAACCGCUGAAAGCAUCUAAGCGGGAAACUAGCCUCAAGAUGAGAUCUCACUGGAACCUUGAGUUCCCUGAAGGGCCGUCGAAGACUACGACGUUGAUAGGUUGGGUGUGUAAGCGCUGUGAGGCGUUGAGCUAACCAAUACUAAUUGCCCGUGAGGCUUGACCAUAUAACACCCAAGCAAUU